rnacentral:rRNA from 1 species
UGGUCAAGUUAUUAAGGGUGCAGGGCGGAUGCCUUGGCACUAGGAGCCGAUGAAGGACGUGAUAAGCUGCGAUAAGCUUCGGGGAGUUGCACGUAAACUUUGAUCCGAAGAUUUCCGAAUGAGGAAACUCACUUAGAGUAAUGUCUAAGUAUCAUUAAGUGAAUACAUAGCUUAAUGAGGGGAACUCAGGGAACUGAAACAUCUAAGUACCUGAAGGAAGAGAAAGAAAUUCGAUUCCGUAAGUAGCGGCGAGCGAACGCGGAUUAGCCCAAACCAAUAAAGUUUUCUUUAUUGGGGUUGCGGACAUAUCAUAACGAAGAGGUAUCGUAAUUGAAGAGGUUUGGAAAGACCUACCACAGAAGGUAAUAGUCCUGUAUGUUAAACGAGAAGACUUUAGAUAUGAUCCAGAGUACCACGGGACACGUGAAACCCUGUGGGAAGCAGGAGGGACCACCCUCCAAGGCUAAAUACUACCUAGUGACCGAUAGCGUAUAGUACCGUGAGGGAAAGGUGAAAAGAACCCCGGGAGGGGAG